CGAUAGGAUGACUUAAGGAACGGAAGCAAUCCACUACUUGGUUUCUAGUCCUUGAGGGUGGUAAUCUCAGGCUCAUAGUGCUGUCUUGAUAAAAACUUGAAUAUUAACAGCUGAUUUAUAGCUGUAGAGCAAAUUUUAUUUAGUUUUUCAGUUUCGCUUUAUGAAGUUUAAUUAAUAUUCAUAUUGUAGUAAAAUCGAACCGUUAAAGUUGUCUUUUCUUCUCUUAUUUACAUUUUCGUUAAAAGCAACUUUAGCAGUCUUUUCUGCUUCUUUCACAUUUGUUUACGUAGUACUCGUUUUGGCAAUCUAGGAGCAAGUUAUUGCAAUAGAUGAAUAUUUUUUCUUGUUUUACUCGUGUAGUUUUAGCAGGGAAUUCCAGUUUUUCAUCGAAAAGUAACACGACUUGGUAGCACGGUCAAGAACCCGUUCUACUUCGGGGAUAACCAGGGACAUGAUGCAUACCAUAUCUGAUAACACAUGCCAUUACACUUUUUUUGAAAAUUUGAGCAAAAAAAAUAAUGAAAACAGGUACUUGAAAUCUGACAAGUGUUAGAGCCGGCUUCAUGCCAAACAUUGAAACUUGCUUCAAUAAUAGAUGAAAUCUCAGUAUAUAAUGAAUGUAUUGAACGGGUUACUGAAGUUCAUUUCAUCAUUAUAAGCGAAUAUUGGAUGUUUGAAAUCGUCUUCAUCCUAUGGUAUGAAUAACAACGACUGUCGUGAAAAGUUGAUGAAAGACUAUAGGCCCCGCUUAAGAAAUUACGAUAUUAUAAAGAAUCUAUAAUUUUCUACAAUUUAAUUGAAAUUUUUAUAUUUGGAGGCGAAAACUUAUUCUUUUUCAGCUUGCUCAACUUUAUGUGACUUUUUUACAUGGUAUAUCAACAUGAACAUUCUUACUGCAAAUAUUUCAACUAAAUAAAUUCAUUAAAUUUUUAUUAGACAAUAAAAAUAUACUAUAGCAACUUGAGAGCUGCAAUACGUGUACGCCACAAACAAUUGAGAAACAAACAGAAAUUGUUUACACAGUUUCGCUGUUUUCAAAAUAUAACCACGGGUAAGUAAUACAGUUGGCAUACAACAUUUGGGUAACCUACCAUAAUUAUCAAUUGAGCGCAAGAAUGGCUUGGAUACUGACUCAACCCCAGUCUACUGAAUCGACGAUGUUUGGAAAAUCGAAUGAAACCAGCAAAACCGAUCCUUCACCUUUAACUAUCGGUAAUCCAAGUUUGAUUAUCGAGCAAAGAUGUGGUUGGUGCUUGGACAGAUGGAUCUACUUGAUUGCUUGAUAUUUUUCGGUGUCAGUUCGUUACGCUAAAAUGACUAAGAAAAAUGAACACAGCCUCGAUAAACAAAUAUCAUCAGUGCGAUCCAACAGCGGUAUUUGUCUGAGUUUCUGGUUUACAUUCCGAGCCACAUGAAAGAUAGGCGUUACAGGGCUCGGGAAUGCAGCCGAAGCCGUUCAAAGUUGUCAAUAAAGAACGUUUGGUAGAAGUGUCCAACAGCAACGAAGUGUUGAUGACUUGUUGCCAAUGAUGAAUUUCUUCACUAUUGAGUUGGACUUUGGAAUGUGAGUGGUCGUACCAACAACUACGGGUAUAUGGCCUUAUUGCAGUGUAAGAUUAUCUCAUUGUCAUACAAAGUGGGCAACUUCAUACGCAAGGCGUGGGUUUCAUGAACACACAAAACGAAUCGAGAUGAUCAUCGUUGGAUACUCGCUUGAUGCAGCUGCUAACGGAGAUGCACAAAGCAAUCGAACUUUACCAUGACAUAUCCGAAACAUGCUAAGAUCUUGUUGAUGCAUUCGUUGACGUUUUUUCAAGAUGUUUCGUAAUUUCUAUACCCCCGGGUGGAGUGGAGCUGCACUUACGAAAGGAUAAGUUGAAGGCUGAUUUUUCACAUCCCUUCUUUGCAAAAGUUUCCAAAGAUGAAAAGUGGAGAUGCUAUUACGCUAGCACAAUAUUCAUCAUCAUCUGAUCUGUUGUAUAAAACUUUUUCAUUUCAUAACUUAUGAAGUCAAUAAUAGUUUUUGAAAAUGGGAUUUCCUAAUUUAGU
rnacentral:lncRNA from 1 species